GAUGAACGCUGGCGGCGUGCUUAACACAUGCAAGUCGAACGGAAAGGCCCAAGCUUGCUUGGGUCCUCGAGUGGCGAACGGGUGAGUAACACGUGGGUUAUCUGCCCUGCACUUCGGGAUAAGCCUGGGAAACUGGGUCUAAUACCGGAUAGGACUAUGGUUUUGAUGCCAUUGUGGAAAGUUUUUUCGGUGUGGGAUGAGCUCGCGGCCUAUCAGCUUGUUGGUGGGGUAAUGGCCUACCAAGGCGUCGACGGGUAGCCGGCCUGAGAGGGUGUACGGCCACAUUGGGAAUGAGAUACGGGCCAGACUCCUAAGGGCGGCAGGAGUGGGGAAUAUUGAACAAUGGGCGAAAGCCUGAUGCAGGGACGCCGCGUGGGGGAUGACGGCCUUAGGGUUGUAAACUCCUUUCGCUAGGGACGAAGCGUUUUUGUGACGGUACCUGGAGAAGAAGCACCGGCUAACUACGUG
rnacentral:rRNA from 1 species